rnacentral:rRNA from 1 species
CAGUGAAUCAUCGAAUCUUUGAACGCACCUUGCGCUCCCUUGGUAUUCCGAGGAGCAUGCCUGUUUGAGUGUCAGU